CCUACGGGAGGCAGCAGUGGGGAAUAUUGCGCAAUGGGGGAAACCCUGACGCAGCAACGCCGCGUGCGGGAUGAAGGCCUUCGGGUUGUAAACCGCUUUCAGCAGGGAAGACGCAGACGGUACCUGCAGAAGAAGCCCCGGCUAACUACGUGCCAGCAGCCGCGGUAAUACGUAGGGGGCGAGCGUUAUCCGGAUUCAUUGGGCGUAAAGCGCGCGCAGGCGGACCGUUAAGCGGGACCUCUAAUCCUGGGGCUCAACCUCAGGCCGGGUCCCGAACUGGCGGUCUCGAGUGCGGUAGGGGAGGUCGGAAUUCCCGGUGUAGCGGUGGAAUGCGCAGAUAUCGGGAAGAACACCGAUGGCGAAGGCAGACCUCUGGGCCGACACUGACGCUGAGGCGCGAAAGCUAGGGGAGCGAACAGGAUUAGAUACCCC
rnacentral:rRNA from 1 species